rnacentral:rRNA from 1 species
GUGGGGAAUAUUGGACAAUGGGGGGAACCCUGAUCCAGCCAUGCCGCGUGUGUGAAGAAGGUCUUCGGAUUGUAAAGCACUUUAAGUUGGGAGGAAGGGCAGUAAGUUAAUACCUUGCUGUUUUGACGUUACCGACAGAAUAAGCACCGGCUAACUUCGUGCCAGCAGCCGUGGUAAUACGAAGGGUGCAAGCGUUAAUCGGAAUUACUGGGCGUAAAGCGCGCGGAGGUGGUUUUGUAAGUUGGAGGUGAAAGCCCCGGGCUCAACCUGGGAACUUCCUCCAAAACUGGAUGACUAGAGUGCGGUAGAGGGUAGUGGAAUUUCCUGUGUAGCGGUGAAAUGCGUAGAUAUAGGAAGGAACACCAGUGGCGAAGGCGACUACCUGGACUGAUACUGACACUGAGGUGCGAAAGCGUGGGGAGCAAACAGGAUUAGAUACCCUAGUAGUCC